GACGAACGCUGGCGGCGUGCUUAACACAUGCAAGUCGAACGCUGAAGCCCUGGCUUUUGUUGGGUUGGAUGAGUGGCGAACGGGUGAGUAACACGUGAGUAACCUGCCCUCUUCUUUGGGAUAACGCCCGGAAACGGGUGCUAAUACUGGAUAUUCACUGAUCUUCGCAUGGGGGUUGGUGGAAAGGUUUGUUCUGGUGGGGGAUGGGCUCGCGGCCUAUCAGCUUGUUGGUGGGGUGAUGGCCUACCAAGGCUUUGACGGGUAGCCGGCCUGAGAGGGUGACCGGUCACAUUGGGACUGAGAUACGGCCCAGACUCCUACGGGAGGCAGCAGUGGGGAAUAUUGCACAAUGGGCGAAAGCCAGAUGCAGCGACGCCGCGUGAGGGAUGGAGGCCUUCGGGUUGGAAACCUCUUUCGCUCAUGGUCAAGCCGCAACUGUGGGUUGUGGUGAGGGUAGUGGGUAAAGAAGCGCCGGCUAACUACGUG
rnacentral:rRNA from 1 species